rnacentral:rRNA from 1 species
GUGGAGAAUCUUCCGCAAUGGACGAAAGUCUGACGGAGCGACGCCGCGUGAGUGGAGAAGGCCUUCGGGUCGUAAAGCUCUGUCAUCAGGGACGAACGGCCGGUGGAGUGGAAAGCCACCGGAUUGACGGUACCUGAGAAGGAAGCCACGGCUAACUACGUGCCAGCAGCCGCGGUAAUACGUAGGUGGCAAGCGUUGUCCGGAAUUAUUGGGCGUAAAGCGCGCGCAGGUGGGAUCUUAAGUCCAUUUUUAAAGUUCGGAGCUCAACUCCGUGAUGGGAUGGAAACUGGGAUUCUUGAGUACCGGAGAGGAAAGCGGAAUUCCCCGUGUAGCGGUGAAAUGCGUAGAUAUGGGGAGGAACACCAGUGGCGAAGGCGGCUUUCUGGACGGUGUCUGACACUGAGGCGCGAAAGCCAGGGGAGCGAACGGGAUUAGAUACCCUGGUAGUCC